rnacentral:tRNA from 1 species
GCCUGGGUGGCGGAAAUGGUAGACGCAAGGGACUUAAAAUCCCUCGGUACCUUGUACCGUGCCGGUUCGAUUCCGGCCCUAGGCACCA